rnacentral:lncRNA from 1 species
CUCGACCCAGAUCGCUCCCGGCCCGCCGCUCACCUUGAAGUUGACCGGGUCCACCCGAAGCUUGUGCGCGUGCAGGUCGCUCAGGGCGGACAGCGCGUUGGGCAUGUCGUCCACGUGCGCCACGGCGUUGGUCAGCGCGUCGGCCACCUUCUUGCCGUGGCCCUUAACCUGGGCAGAGCCGUGGCUCAGGGCGGACAGCGCGUUGGGCAUGUCGUCCACGUGCGCCACGGCGUUGGUCAGCGCGUCGGCCACCUUCUUGCCGUGGCCCUUAACCUGGGCAGAGCCGUGGCUCAGGUCGAAGUGCGGGAAGUAGGUCUUGGUCUGCGGGUGGCUGAGGAAGAGCCUGGGACGGGGGGCGGGGGCCGUGAGCUCCCAGCAGCGCGGCCUCCCGCCACGGCCCACGCGCCCUGCGGCCCUCUCCGAGCACCGGGACACAUCUGCGACCCCGCAGCAGGCCCCAGCCCCUCCUCGCGGGGCCCGG